rnacentral:lncRNA from 1 species
GCUGGGCACCUGCAAGUCAUGAUGAAUUCAGUACAUAAUGUCUGGGGUCUAAGCAGCUAGAUGUGGGCGGUCAGACAUUUAUUUAUGCCAUCUGCAGGAGCGGUAUCAGGGGCCUCGACUUGUUCGUCGCCACCAGCUCUGGCUUCCCCUUGUUGGGGCUCGGGAGGCGGCAGGUCGGGCAGUGUCGUGUCUGCCUCGGGGGCUGGCUCCUUGGGCGCGGACCCCCCGGGGGCUGAUGGCUCGGGGGCUGGGGUAGCUGUGGCUGGUUUCAAUUUGUGUGGAGUGGCGCUUGCAGACCUAAUAAAGCAGAUUCAGUUAUCAUACAAGUCGAAAAGAGUAGAAUGUUUACUAUGCAACAAGAUGCAAACUUACAGCAUAGCCUUCUUCAUGAUAGCCUUCUUCACCCGCAUAGCCCAUCGCGGGGUACUUGUUGCCGGCGGUGGGGUCACACCAGCUAAUGGCGCGGUGCCCACCACGGCAAUGGUAACAGUCACAGAAGCUGCUGGAUCUGUUCCCAUUUCUUAGAGCUCGGGCCUGGGUGGGGAAGCGGGAGGACUGCAAAUGGAAAAUGUCAGCAUGCAACAAUAUUGAUGUAUGACAACAAGUCAUCAUAUUCAUACCUGGUGGACUCGACUUCUUGCGCUUUGCGUUUGCGCACAACCCGGCAACCCUGUGGGACUGAAGGCAGAGUAUCGGUCAACUCCAUGGAUGGUCCGGGGGAGUUGCCUCUACUUGCCUCCCCCUCGGCUUCCUUCUCCGCCAGGGGGCUUCCGCCUUCUGUGGACUCGCUGCCGGGUAGAGCCUCGGCUACUCGAGCCCUCUUGGCUUCAGCUGUGGCGCUGGGGAGGAGUUGGUCCGGCCGAGGGAUGUCGGGUUGCGGCGGGUAGCUCCGAUACAACUCUAUGUGCCCCUGCAGAAGGUUUUCAGUUAGCAGCGGCAGAACAGAGUUUGUUUCCAACAAAAAGUAGUCGAAUACUCACCGGUCUUGGAGGACUUCGUGCGGAAAAUAAUCCUGGGACGUAGGGGACGGCAUUCACAUCCAACAGCACCCGUUUGACUCGGAGGAGUGCGGAUUCGUCUGACAGCUCCUCUGCGCACAUGCGAGACGGAUCUUCAGCGCCCAUGUACUCGAAUCCAAGUCUGUGGCGUUGUUGGAUUUGCUGGACUCGGCGUUUGAAGAAGUAGAACAUAACGGAUGCGUUGGUCACUCCCAUCAGCUUAUGAGCUGCUAUGGUGUCUAGCAAUUUCUCAACCGUAUCCAUGUCAUCCCUGUUAAGCUCAAUAUUCCACUCCGGCCUCACAACAGGUUGACUAUUUGAUUUCUCUGGGAGUUGGGGGGCAUGAUUUUCGAUAUAAAACCAAUGAUUUUUCCACCUGGGAAUGUUGGAGGGGAAUUUGUACGAUAGGUACUUGUCGCCGGCUUGUUGUCUCAGUUGGAUGCCGGUGCCCCCUACAAUAGAUGGAUUUUUCGAGGUGGGUUGUGGCUUGACUCAGAAGAGGAAGCGGAAAAGAUCCCAGUGGGGUUCAAUUCCGAGAAAUGCUUCGCAAAAGUGAAUAAAAAUGGAAAUGUGGCAAAUGGAGUUCGGCUUGAGGUGAUGGAGCUCAAGCCCGUAAUAGUAAAGAAGGCCACGGAAAAAAGAGCAAGAGGGGAGGGCCAAACCCUGUUCGGCAAAAUGGUAAAAUGUGACGAUUUCGUCAACAUUUUCCAUGGGGAAAUGUUCUUGGAAUGAGGGGCGCCAAUUGACAAGAUUCUUGUCUUGGAGCAACCCCUUGGAAACAAGCCUAUUAAGAUCGUUGAGGGAGCACUUACUGUGUGUCCACUCCCCGGAUGGUGGUUGCGCCUCCUUCUUCUUCCCAUCCUUCUCUGAUUUCUUGGGCGCCAUCUCUGGAUCCGCUCACCACGAGUUGCUCGGGGGCUGUGGGGAGAGGGGCGGGGAGAUUUGGGAGGAUUGGGGUUCUUCAAGAGGAUGAAGGCGGAGCGUGGUUUUGUUUGGGGGAUUUUGGCGGCUCUUGGCAAAUUGCAGAUUGGAAGCACAGUUUUUAGUUAAUGUUACCGCGGGGUUAAAUAACCAACGGUUGGGUGCAGUUUUACUAUUUUGAAGCUGAAGAGUCGUUUCAAGGAAUGUUUGGAAGUUGAGGGGUCAUUUGAUGGAUUGUUUAGAUAAAAUAUUCGAUUAAUCAUUUUUUCAGGGUUAAUUGUUCCGAAAAAAGGGGUUUUUCAAAUUCCAGAUCUAAGCUUCCAUCAUUUGUGCCAUCACACCAGUUCUUUACCAUAUGGAUAUUUUUACGCUGCAUGCCACGACUUUUGGAUCCUUAUUUCCAAACCUGAGAGAUUUGGAUUCAAGGCUCGGGGGCUGCGGGAUACGUGGCAUCGACUACUUAUUUUUCGAAUUUAUUUGAAAAAGUAAGUAAGGAAGAUUCAAGACUAAUGCGACCCUCAGUGUGAUUCUCCGAUUCAACCUAAGGCUUGGGGGCUACUCCAUAUGGAGUGAGAUUUUUCAAUCGCACACCAUAUCAAAAAUAUAAUUCGGGGCAUGAGCACCUCAUAGCUUCGAUGCAGCCAAGUGAAUACUCGAAGAAGGACUUCAAGAUGGAGCUUCAAAGAAGCCAAAGACUACUUCGAAAAGUACUCGAUAAGCCUGCAGUACUCAGCUACGAAGAGCUCGGGGGCUUGUCAGAUCCGGGGCCACGGGACUGUGUACAUAACGUAGUUUAAACAGGUUUAAGAGAUUAAGUCCGUGUUAUCUCUUAUUCAUCUUGUUUAUCUCUUAUUUAUCCCGUAUGAGUAGGAGAUAAAACUAGUCGGUACAGAGAGAAUCUACUUGAGAUAUGUUCUGGUACGAUUCCUUAGUUAGUAUCGGUUAGGAUUAUUGUAACCCUGGCCUCCCGGAUAUAUAAAGGGGGACAGGGACCCUCUCAAAACAAGAUCAUCAGAUCAUUCUACACCCAAAGCAAUACAAACCACCAUACAGGAUGUAGGGUAUUAUGCACCUCGCGGCCCGAACCUGUCUAAGUAUUGUGUUCCUUGCAUCUUCGAGUUCCUGAUCUCGGUGUCUCCUCACCUAAAACUUACCACCUUGGGCAUAUCCCUCGGUGGGCAGCCGGUAAAACACCGACAGUAAAACCCAGCUUUAAGGACAUGGAUAACAAGGAUAAAUAAAUUUAGUACCGUCAUAUUAAUACCUGCAUGCAUAGAAAUAAAAAAUGUUAUUAGGAUGAAAAUAUGAUCAAAGAAUACACUUGGCUUCUGUGAUUUCCUACUGCUGCUUAGAAACCUUGAACUCUUCCUCUUGAAAGUUCACAUACGGCUCCUGUACUCACCUACGCGCCACGAACAAGCUUGCAAAGCGACACAUAAAUACAUACAAACAAACAAAUGCAAAUAAUAGUACAUCAAACAGCAUGACAUAAAGGAAUAAAGUAGAAAAAUUAGUUCUACGUGUUACAACAAUUGCAACAGUACAAGAGAUUCGCUUAAAACAAUGUUAUGCUAAAAAUAGGCUAAAAUGGCUCUGCAGGCACUAGUAGAAAUAGUAGCUUCCAUGAUGUUUGGCGCGUGACAUUCUAAAACUUCAUUGUUGAAUAGACCACAUCUAUGAUAAAAAUCUCAGGUUCGUCAUAGUUCAUCGGCGGCAACCCUCAGCCAUUACAGAAUUAUGACGAAAGUAAAACACGUGUCAUCGAACAACAUCUCAUAUAAUCAAAAAAAUGGUGCGCCACAACCCUUCGUUUUUGUGAUGACUGCGACUCGUCAUAGAAUUGGUGGACCACAUGUAGCGUUGGGACCCAUAGGUGCACAUGUGUCACACCCGAUUUAUAAGAAUAUAAACCGAGCAAUCAUAUAUGCGCCAGGAUCAAGUCACGCAUAUAUACAACAGAAUCAUCAAGAUAUCACAACAUGUAUCUCGAAAUAAAAGCGUAUAAAUCAUAAAUAAAUAUCUUUAUUACAACUGAAUCAAGAAUCAGUUCAAGGAAUACAGAAGCGUAAAAUAAAUACAUGAAGAACAGGGCGCCACAAGGACGUCAGCUGGGAGACAACGCCUAGAAAUCAACGAGUCCGCUGAUGUAGUCCUCCACGUUGCCUGGUACUGAGCAGCAGUCGAAGAUAUCCCAAAGAGAACAGAAGAGUAGAGGAGGCAAGUGUGAGUACACAACUUGUACUUAACAAGUAUAACACGAGUUAUGAGGCUCUACGGUUAGCUGACUCAACUGCAAUAGCUUUUAAUCUUGGCAAAUUUUAUUAAAGCUAAUUGCUAUAAGUGGAUGAAUUACCAUAACCCAUGUUACAUAAUAAUUAAUCAAAAUUUAUCAUGAGUCUACUGAAAACCAAGCCAAACCACCAAAGGUACACCCCAAUAAUCAGACGGAGGAUCUGGACCGCUCAUGACCGUGAGCACGGCUAGUAUACCAGUUUUACACUCUCGAGAGAUUGCACAACUUUACCCACAAGUCGUGAGCUACUCUAGUUGUUCAUCACACUUCCUUAGGUGAGAUGACUAGCAAGCACACUAUGAGACCGUUACAAAGGAUCACGUUAGUAAGGUGUAACCGCUAAGGUUUCUGGAUCAGCGACAAUGGGGCCCACCUCACGGGGGUACAAGCACACAGCACAGACCAAGCCGGAGGAGCAGGGACCAUUGAAGCUUACCACCCCUCUUGCCCUGCAGGUAAGUUACUCCCAAACCAAAAUGACCUAAUUAGUAAGUCAAGACCGUCCCAUUCCAGUCUUGUGGUUGCUCGGAUGUCCCAGGUUGUCGCUCUAUGAACCAGUCCUUUUGGAGAGUGGCCAACCAAGCACUAAGCACCGUGCUGGCCCCCUAAACCAUAUUUCUAUAAAAAACAUAUUUUAACGAGACGUGAGCCGCUCAAGCACACAGCACAGAGGGCCGCUCUCAGAAUCAAGUUGCAUAUACCAUUAAUCAAAUUUAAUUACAAAAGACCAUUAUAUGUGAGAGUGCAGCACCUAGCACAACUAACCAAAAUGCAACCCAAGGUAUUAUGUAAAGGAUAAAAGUGGCUAGGUAAUCCUUAUAGGCAUACAAUAUUAAAAUAUAGUAUGAAAUUGUAUUUAAAAGUGAUAGGAUGUUCAUGUUAUACUUUCCUUCCUCAAAGUUCUCCUGCUGCUACUCAAAGGACUCUGAAGAAGGUGGCUCCUGAUACUCCUCCGAUGGCUCAACGUCUACUCAUGAUCGCAACGCCAAAACAUGGUCCACACAUGCACAUACAUACAAACAAUGGCAAAAGAUAAGAAACAGUACAACAAUACCAUAAAACAGCACAUAACACUAAGCUAAAACUAUUCUACGCAUUACGACGAUCGCGUGAGCGCGAAAACCACCUAAAACGGAGCUACGACGCGAAAACUAGGGCUAAAACGAGAUCCAAGGACUUAACCGUAAGAAAACAGAAGUUUCCAGGUACUUCUGUGCAAAAACUGAGGGUCUAAACAUAAUUAAAGGGUAGACUUAGGGUCUAACCCGUGAAAACACAGGAGAGGGACGACGGGUUCUAUUCCUAAAGAAUCCAGGGGUCUAAACGCUAAAAACUGGGCUGAUCUGCAAAUACUUUUGAACGGCACUGGACUGCGGGUUGGUUUCAAAUAAACCCAGGGACUCUUUAACAAAAAUGCCAGGCCGAACCGGUAUCUUCUAACCGGGACCGUCAGAUCCGGAUCUAAUGGCUCAGACCUGAUCUGGGAUGGAUCUAAUCUGGCGUGUCGGCUUCGGAUCCUACGGCUCGGAUUAACAAUGAGGCCUAACCGGUACGCGUGGAUCUAAUCCGUUGGAUCACGAUCCCGUGGCUCGGACCCUAUCCAUCUGCGAUCUAAUCCUGAUCGUCUGCUACGGAUCGGGCGGCUGGCGUCCAACGCGAGUGAGGGGGCGGCGCUGGGUCGCCGAAAUCCAGUUCCCGCGGCGAAGGUUCGCCGGCGUUGGCCGAUCUCGGCCGUCCGGACUUCGUUUUGGAUGAGGUCUGGCCUGGGAGGUAGAGCAUGACACGUUGAACUCAUCUAGGUAGUUAAGAUGAUUGAUUAGGGUUUGGGUCGGGGCUCACCACGGCGGGGACAGCACAGGUUCAUGGCAGCGAGGUGAACUCGCUCGCGCAGAGGAAAAGAGGGAGGGAAAAAGGGCACGGCGUGUUCCUUACCAACCUAGGAAACCAUGUCGGCGGCUAGAGGUCGAAGAUCGGUGGUGCCGGGGUUGAAUCGUGCUGGCUCAGAGGUGGAUCGGCGGCAGCGCACCCUCGGUUCGAGCGACGGCACGGUAGUGCGAGGGCUCGGGGGAAAGCUAGGGAUGCAGAGGUGGCUUAGUGUGAGCACGGAGGAACUGCGGUGGCUAAGAAGGGGUAGGGCGGCCUCGGCGUGUGGGUCACCCGUGCAACGGAUGCUGCGCAUCCCGCUGGUUCAUUGCCGCUCGCCCAAAUCGGGGUCGGGGUGGCUUCUAGAGGGAUCUAGGCGUGGGACGAGGCCGGUGUGCGGCUCGGGCCGGGUGCGGCGCAGUGGAGCGGACCCAGGGUGCAAAGGCGCGGCCGGGCGGAGUGGUCAGCGGAGCAGAGAGCAGCGCGAGGAGGAAGGAGAAGGAGCUGACGGGCGGGCCCAGGGCAUCAGCGGGCGAUGUGGAGCGGAGGGCGGGCGAGCUGGGCCUCGGGCAUAGGUGGGCCGAGCGAGGGGAAUCGGGCCGCAGGGAAAGGAGGCCGGGUGAGCGGGAGAAGAAAGAGAGAGGGAGGGAAUGGGCCUGCGCGGGGAAAGGGCCGGCCCAAGGGGAGAGAGGAGGCAGGUUGGGCUGCCUGGGCUGAACUGCCUUCACCAAAUUCCUUUCCUUUUCCUUUUCUAAUCCUUUUGAAACUCAAAUUUAUUUGAAUUCAAAUAACCUUUUGAAUUCAAACCCUGUGCACUCAUUCCAAUAAAACAUAUGCACCAGCAUGAAUGCACAAUCAUGUUGUUUCUAAAAUAAAUUUUAAUUCUUUGAAUAAUUUAACUAGGUUAAAUGCAAACUAAGCAUAAUAAAUCUUUAGAAAAUUAAUGGAGCCAAACUAAAUCCAUUAUAAAUCUUGGAAUUUUACAUUAGGGUGUUACAAACCUACCCCCCUUACAGGAAUCUCAUCCCGAGAUUCGGAUAGGCUAGCUAGCAAAGAGAUCGGGAUAUGUCUUCCUCAGCUCAUCUUCUCGCUCCCAAGUAGCCUCAUCCUCUGUGUGAUGACUCAACUGAACACAGCACAUCUUGAUCUUCUUGUUCCUGGUAACUCUCUUAGUCGUCUCCAGAAUCUUCACCGGAUGCUCGGUGUAAGUCAGGUCCUCUUGCACUUCCAACCCUUCCAAUGGUGCUUGCUCUUCCGGCACUCUCAAGCACUUCUUCAGCUGAGAUACAUGGAAGACAUCAUGCACUCCUGAGAGACUGGAAGGUAACUCCAAACGAUAUGCCACCUCACCCUUCCAUUCCAACACCUUGAACGGACCAAUGUACCUAGGGGCUAACUUCCCUUUCACAUUAAACCUAUGGAUUCCUCUCAUCGGCGAGACCUUCAGAUACACAUGAUCAUCCACUGCAAAGGUCAGAUCCCGACGACGCACAUCCGUGUAACUCUUCUGACGAGUCUGAGCGACCCUCAGAUUUUCUCGUACCUGCUGUACCAGCUGUUCUGCAUCCUCAACAAUAUCCGGACCGAACACCUGCCUUUCGCCAAUCUGAUCCCAAUACGGCGGAGUUCUACACUUCCGACCAUAUAGGGCCUCGAAAGGAGAUUUCUUCAGACUGGCCUGAUAGCUUUUGUUGUAUGAAAACUCUGCAAAUGGUAGGCAUCUAUCCCAGCUGGUACCAUACUGAAUAGAGCAGACUCGAAGCCUAUCCUCCAACACUUGGUUGGUUCUCUCUGUCUGCCCAUCUGUCUGAGGAUGAUAGGCGGUACUGAAGCGUAGCUUCGUAUCCAACGAAUCAUGCAACUGCUCCCAGAACGGUGAAGUGAACUGAGAUCCUCGAUCAGAUAUGAUGUUCUUCGGAACACCAUGCAGACAGAUGAUCCUAGAGAUGUACAACUCUGCGAGUCUAGCACCGGAGUAAGUAGUGUUCACCGGGAUGAAGUGGGCAACCUUCGUCAACCGAUCCACUACUACCCAUAUAGAGUUGUACCCUUUCUGAGUACGAGGCAAUCCAACAAUGAAGUCCAUAGUGAUCUCCUCCCAUUUCCACUCUGGAAUCUUCAACGGCUGCAACAGACCUGCUGGCCUCUGAUGCUCUGGCUUGACACGCUAACAAGUGUCAUAGAUAGCCACGUACUCCGCAAUGGAACGCUUCAUUCCAUACCACCAGAAUCGUUUCUUGAGGUCAUAAUACAUCUUCAUGCUGCCUGGAUGAAUGGAAUACGCCGUAUCAUGAGGCUCACUCAAGAUCAGCUUCCUGAGAUCCUUCACAUCUGGCACACAUAUCCGGCCCUUGUACCACAAGGUACCCUAAUCAUCCUCUCUGAAAUGAGGUGCCUUGCCAUUCUUGAGCAAUUCACGGAUCUCCUGCAGUUUCUUAUCUUCUUUCUGAUGCUACCUAAUCUCUGCCUCUAGAAUGGGUUCCGCCUCAAAUGAUGCACUCGAGGUGUGAUGCAAGAAACUCAGACUUAACUGCUCAAACUCCUCACAUAACUCCUGAGGCAUCUGAAAAGCUACGGCCAUGUUAACAUAGCUCUUCCUGCUCAGAGCAUCUGCUACAACAUUGGCCUUGCCCGGAUGAUAGUGAAUCUCCAGAUCAUAAUCCUUGACUAACUCUAGCCAUCUUCUCUGCCGCAUGUUCAGCUCACUCUGAGUGAAAAUGUACUUGAGGCUCUUGUGAUCGGUGUAAAUAUCACACCUCUGCCCAAACAAGUAAUGCCUCCAUAUCUUCAGAGCAUGUACAACUGCGGCUAACUCCAGAUCAUGAGUGGGAUAAUUCAGUUCAUGCCCGCACAAAUGCUGCGAGGCAUAAGCUAUCACUCUGCCCUCCUGCAUCAGAACGCAACCAAGACCAUCCCUCGAAGCAUCACAAUACACUGUGAACCUCUUGCUCUGGUCUGGCAGAGUAAGGACUGGCACCGUAGAUAACCUCUUCUUUAGCUCCUCGAAGGCCUUCUGACGCUCGUCAUUCCAGGAGAAGUCCACACCCUUCUCUAGCAAGGAAGUCAAAGGCUUCGCAAUCUUGAAGAAAUUCUCAAUGAACCUCCGAUAAUAUCCUGCUAAGCCCAGAAAGGAGCGAACUUCCUUCACUGUCUACGGCACCACCCAGUCAAGCACAUCCUUUACCUUGCCGGGGUCCAUAGCAAUACCUCCCUUGGAGAUGACAUGACCGAGGAAUGGAACCUCGUCAAUCCAGAAUUCGCACUUGCUGAGCUUGGCAUACAGCUUGUGCUCUCUGAGCCUCUGUAACACGAGCUUCAGAUGCUUCUCAUGCUCUACCUCUGACUUGGAAUAUACCAGGAUAUCAUCAAUGAAUAUCACCACAAAGGUGUCCAGAUAAUCCAUGAAAACCUUGUUCGUCAGAUGCAUGAAGAAAGCCAGAGAAUUGGUCAAGCCGAAGGACAUGACCGUAUACUCGUAUAGCUCAUACUUGCCGGUGAAUGCCAUCUUCAGGAUAUCCUCGGGACAAAUCUUCAACGAGGUAAUGGAUGCUUGUUCUUGAUGGUGACUGCAUUCAGAUCCUGAUAAUCGACGCACAUUCUCUUCAUGCCAUCCUUCUUCUCUACAAGCAAUACAAGAAAAGCCCAAGGAGAGAAACUACGACGAAUAUAACCCUUGGCUAGCAACUCGUCGACAGUCUUCUUAACUUCCUCAUGCUCAACAGGUGCCAUAUGAUAGGGCCGCUUAGCAAUAGGAGGUGUGCCAGGCAAGAGAUCAAUAACAAACUUAAUGUCGCGACCAGGCGGCAUACCUGGCAAAUCAUCCGGAAAUACAUCCGGGAAUUCAGACACCAUGCGAAUACCAUCCGUGGGUCUAGCCUCCAUCUGACAAAGAAUUCUAGAGGGCUCCGAAGCACUGACUGUGACUUCCUGUCCAUCCGGUGCUGACAAGUGGACAGUCCUCUAAGCACAAUCAAUCUUGACACCCCAUCUAACAAGGGUCUCCAUUCCCAAUAUCACAUCGAUACCCUGGGUGUCUAGCACCAUCAGAAUUGCACUGAACUCUACCCCCCUUAUGACAACACUGACUCUAGGAUAGAAGAUAUGAGACCUCAUCUGCCCUCCCGGUGAAGAUACUAACAUGCCCCUCUUUAAUGUGCUAGUAUGAAUGCCAUGAUGCUCGAUAGAAGAUCGAGUAAAGAAGGAAUGAGUAGCACCAGUAUCAAAAAGCACGGUAGCAGGGUGGGUGUUGACCAUGAACGUACCAAUAACCACGUUGGGAGCCUCUGCCGCUGACUCGGCCGUCACGUGGUUCACCCUGCCCUAGGAUGGCACCUUGGGCUGAGCCGGGCGUCCCUACUGUCCAGACUGCGCCUUCCGGGGACAGACGUUGGCGUAGUGUUCCUGCUCGCCGCAGUGAUAGCACGCCUAUGGGAAUGCUGGAGCCUGCUGUCCGGCAGGAGGAGUAGGCACUCCUUGCCGUGGAGCUGGUGGAGCCGGAGGUGCUGAGCGUGCCGGAGGUGUUGGAAGCCUUUGGCCCUGUCCCGCCUGCUGCUGCUGAGGACGAGGCGGGUACUGCUGCUGUCGCUGCUGGUACGACUGGAUCUGCCUCUGCUGCUGCUGCUGGUACUGGUACCGAGGCCGAGUUUUGCUGCCAGUCACUGCAGGAGCCAUCUUCCUCUUCUUGUCCUCAAUCUCCCGGCGCUUGCGCUCGGUGUUGAGGGCAGAGUCAUCCAGAUGGUUGAAGUUGUUGAAGCGGUGGUUCAUGAGCGUGUACUCAAGGUGAUCAUCUAGCCCUUCCCUGAAGCGCUUCUGCUUAUCGCCAUCAUUGGCGACCUCAGCGGGGGCGUAGUGAGCAAGCCGGAGGAAACGAUCACGAUACUCGGUCACCGUCAUAGCUCCCUAAAAUGAUAAACACCGGAAAAAGAGAAUGGAAAUUACUCAGCAUUUCCAAUUUCACGAAGAUAAACAAGGGUGGGCUUGAGCUCAAAUAGGAAUUGCGGAAAGAUUUUACUCUAAUUUACAUGCUUAAGCGCAAGGAACUCCUUGUGCUUCAUCUUCAUCACUCCAGCAGGGAUGUGGUGGUUCCUGAAACGCUCCCGGAACUGGACCCAAGUGAGGGCGUCGCGGUCCCGUGUUGUGUAGGACUCCCACCAAUCGAGAGCUGAGUCUCGCAGUUGCCCUGCUGCGUACAGAACUCGCUCCCUAUCGUCGCACUGAGCGACAUCCAACUGGCACUCUACUGAACGAAGCUAGUCGUCAGCCUGGAGUGGAUCAGCCGCAUGGGAGAACGUCGACGGGUGACCCCUCAGAAAGUCCGCACGCCUGUUGCAGGGCUGCUGCUGUGGAGGAGGUGGCGGCUGAGCGUGGAUCUGCUGCAGAGUCUGAACAGUGUUGUUCAGGGUGGCCAUCAUCUGCAUCUGGAGCUGGAAAAACUGCUCCGGAGUCAGAGGUGGAGGCAUCGGCAGCGGCUGGUCGGUACCCUGGUUGUUUUGCCCCUGCUGGCCAGAACCGGUGCCGGCGCUCCUGGUGUUCACCAUCUUUUUGCAGUAGAACGAAAUUUAAUAAGAGACAGAUAUUGUACGGUUCUGGAAAGAAAACUCUGGCAGGAUAAAGUAGAGAGUAAGGAGUGUACGGUUUUACACCCCAACGGUCUAACUCAAUUUUAUUACUUAAUUCAGGUUUGCAUUAAAGUUGAUUUGCACGAGCAAGUUUAACUUCUAAACUAUGCAAUCAACCAAAAAUCCAAAUCAAACAUUUUGCACAAUCACAAACACUCAAUAUUCAAACGUUAGUCGAGUUUAUCACACCACUCGACUAAAACAAACAUACGCUCUAGCGUGUUUUUGCAAAGGCACCCUAGACUAAUUCACGGAAAAAAAAUACAGAGAGAGUUAGCAAAUCGAGGUUUAGAGCUCAAGGAAUAGAAGCAAAAACAAAUGUUUGAGUUUUGCGAAAGCAAGGCAAGAGAAAGGAAAUCCCUAAACUCGACCAUUUCUAUCUAGGCUUCGUCCUUGUGACAGUUCGUGUACUUGUAAUGCUAGGCAAAUAUUUUGUUAGUGUGAAAUAUGUGUUUGUUUGUAUAAAGCUUAUGUGUGUUUAUGUGAAGCUUUUGAAAAAUUUAAAGUGCAAGUAAAAAGGGGUAUUUUUGUAAUUAUAGAAAAACCUAGGGUGGUUUUUGCAAAUGUAUUUGGAUUAAGGUAAUUUUGAAAUAUGGUUCUGCAAAUAUGUUUUUCUUACCUUAUGUUUUGUAAAAAUAUAUAUAUUUACACAAAAGUUGCAAUGGAAAAUGCGUGUGUUGAAAUAUGUAAAAAUUUUUGGGUAAAGUGGUAAAAAUAAGGGUAUUUAUGUGAUUUUAUGAAAGUACAAGUCCUUUUAUGCAAAUGUUUGAUUUACAAAGGUAACUUUCAAAAUUUACUCAGGACUAAAAUGUAAAAGUACAAGUCAUCAUGACAUGUCUAUCCAAUCAUUAUGACGAGUCUAUCCCGUCAUUAUGACGUGUCAUAAAUGCUUGCAUUUAGGUCCUGAAUUUUAUAAAGUUACGCUCUUUAGGACGAAAGCAAUUCAAAUCCGACUUUUGUUCAAAAAUUCACGUGUAAAAAUAUAAGUUUUGAGUUUUUGAAUUUGAGCCCUAAAGCAAUGUUGUAGAGUUUGAAAAACUCUCCAACUUUCAUUUUGGGCAUUUCUUCAUUUGGGUUUUAAAUCAAUGGGAAAAUUUUCUUUACAAACAAGUCCCUACAAUUUUCUGAUUUUGUGCUUAAGUCCUUGGGAAGUUCUAAUUCCCUUUCUUCUCUGUUUUUCUUCUCCCUCUGCCUUAUCUGUUCCCUGGCGUCUCCUCUCUUCUUUCUCCACCACACAGUGCUCCUUUUCCCUGCCUCUUUUUCUCUUCUCCACACGGCACCGAGUCAGGCGGCAGCGCCAGAGCGAGCGGAGGCGCUGUGCUAGGCGGCCCAGGCGCGCGCGCGAGCUGGUGGCACGGCAGCUCGCGGCAGGUGGCGCCGUGCGGGCGGCUAGCAGCGCGUGGUAGGCGCAGGGCGGCGGCUCGGCGGGCGCGAGCGCGCGCGCGGCUGGCGGGCCCAGGAGCGAGUGGCUCGGUGCGAGGGCGACGCAGCGCUGGCGGGGCGGUGCCCAGGCGGUGGCUCGGCGCGCGGCAGGCGGACGGAGUGGCGCGGCAAGGCAGUGCGCGGGAGCAGGCGGGCCGAGCGGCGCACGGUGUGGCAGGCGGGGCGCGAACGCGGCCCAGGAGGUAGCGCGAGCGGGAGGAGGAAGCACAGAAGUGCCGAACAAGCCCUACAAAGGGAGAUAAUUUUUUGAUGCCGCACGGCUUCAAACACGGGCCAAGGUUAGUUCGGCAGUUAAUAUCCACCACUGCGCUAUUCAAGUGUAUUUGCCUAACUCAACACUCGUACUAUUUUUGAGCAAAUAACUGCAAUCCCUUCCCGCGUGAUGGUUCCUGUUCCCACGCACCUUCCCGAGAUGGUUGCUAUCCCCCCGAGACUCGGCGCUGCCUGAACUUCCUAGUGACGACAUGAUCGGUGGCUAUUCCCAAGAGGGGUCUUCAAGAACUCUUCGUCGAUGUCAUCGCCAGUUCCCACACCAGUUCGGAGAGGGGAUUUCAAGAGUUCCUGCUCUCAUCGUCCUCACCAUUUCCGAAAAGAGAGGUUUUUUUUUCAAGAACUCCAACUGUAGCCCCGCUCGCCCCCCUCCUCUUCGAUCACCGCAUGUCGCACUGCUACGCCUUUCCAGCGCUCCGGCUCAUCGCCGUCCAUGCGUCGUAGCUCCAUGCACGCUAGUGCGUGAGCCCUCGGGUGGCCUCGCCGCGCUUCGUGUUGCGUGAUGUCAUCUUCCGUGGUCUUGUGAUCAGACCCCUACCAGUCCUCGACGAUAAUCUCACCUACGCUGCCACGGGCGGGCACAAUGUGGCAACCUAUGUGGCCGUCAUCCUCCUCUACUUGGCCAAUGGCAGCGCCGGCGUCGACAACGCUGCUAGGUAGUACAUGAGAUAGGCCAUGGGCCUGAAAGAAUCGGGGCAAAGUUGGGCAGCAACGGCACAACGCUGAGCAACAAGGGGUGUUUGUUGUGUCGUAGAGGAUCGCGGAUAUGAUCUGGACUGUGUGGUGGCGCUGGCCCUGGAAGCAGGUGGUGCUGACACCGGUGCGCGGCGAUCAUCCCUGCGUAGGUGGGAAUUGUGGCGUUCAUCUACAAUGUGGAAACAUUGAUGCAGAGUGUUUUGCGGCGAGGACUGCCAGAUUCACAGUAAAAUCGAGCUGUUCUUAAAGAGAAUUAAUGGAGAGUGAAUUAUUAGUGUAACUUUUGCUUUUUUGUUGCUUUUACUUGAUGAGCUCUAGGACUGGUUGGCGGACCUUGUAGCCAAUAUUGCCAAUGUAAAUAUAUAUUUGAUUAAUGAAGAUCUUAUGUUACCCCUAAAUAAACAACAUGUCUACAUGGCAGCCAGUGUGCUGACUGGGACCCGAAGAUCCACGUGUCAGGGUUGUGGGUCAAAUAUGUUAAUAUGGGGCCCACUAGAGAAGUGGGACCCUGCUAUCCACGUGUACGAGUGCGGGCUAGCAGGCCUUCAUGGCUAACACAUGUUAAUGCGGGUCCCACUGGGUGGGUCCUGAUAGUCCACGUGUAUGUGCAGUGGGUACGAUAGGUAGUCGUACAACCAUGUGUUGCUUGCGCGGUCCAGCGUGUCCACAUCGUGGCCACGUGUCAUGGUGGAGCCCACAGAUAAUAAGGCCUCGGCCUGUUUCAAAUGCAGGCCUAAAAUGAAAUUGCUGUGGAGCCAGCCCAUUUUGAGUGAGCCACCAGGAUCCACUCGAUCUGACCCACGAAGAGAAAAAGACCCGCUGUGAAAACAAGAGUGCCGAACGAGCCCAACAAAGGGAGGAAAUUUUUUGAUGCCGCAUGGCUUCGAACACAGGCAAGGUCAGUUUGGCAGUUGCUAUCCACCACUGCGCUAUUCAAGUGUAUUUUCCUAACUCAACACUCAUACUAUUUUUGAGCAAAUAACUGCAGCCCCUUCCUGUGUGAUGGUUCCUGUUCCCGCGCACCUUCCCGAGAUGGUUGCUAUCCCCCCGAGACUCGGCGCUGCCUGAACUUCCUGGCGAUGACGCGAUCGGCGGCAGUUCCCAAGAGGGAUCUUCAAGAACUCUUCGUCGAUGUCAUCGCCACUUCCCACGCCAGUUCGUAAAGGGGAUUUCAAGAGCUGCUGUUCUCUUUGUCCUCGCCAGUUCGUAAAGGGGAUUUCAAGAGCUGCUGUUCUCUUUGUCCUCGCCAUUUCCGAAAAGAGAGGUUUUUUUCAAGAACUCCAACUAUAGCCUCGCUCGGCCCCCUCCUCUUUGAUCACCGCAUGUCGUGCUGCUAUGCCUUUCCAGCGCUCUGGCUCGUUGCCGUCCAUGCGCCGUAGCUCCAUCCACGCCAGUGCGUGAGCCCUCGGGUGGCCUCGUCACGCUCCGUGUUGCGCGACGUCAUCUUCCGUGGUCUCGUGAUCAGACCCAUACCAGUUCUCGAUGAUAAUCUCGCCUGUGCCGCCACAGGCGGCACAAUGUGGCAACCUAUUUGGCCGUCAUCCUCCUCUACUUGGCCAAUGGCAGUGCCGAUGUCGAUAACAAUGCUAGGUAGUACAUGAGACAGGCCAUGGGCAUGUAAGAAUCGGGGGCAGCGGCGGCGGGCAGCAACGGCACAAUGCUGAGCAACGAGGGGUGUUUGCUGUGCCGCAGAGGAUCGCGGAUAUGAUCUGGACAAUGAGGUGGCACUGGCCCUGGAAGCAGGUGGCGCUGACACCAGUGCGCGGCGAUCAUCCGUGCGCAGGCGGGAAUUGCGGUGUUCGUCUACAAUGGUAGAAACAUCGAUGCAGACUGUUUUGCAGCGAGGACUGCUGGAUUCACAGCAAAAUCGAGCUGUUCUUAAAAAGAAUUAAUGGAGAGUGAAUUAUUAGUGUAACUUUUUCUUUUUUGUUGCUUUUACUUGAUGAGCUCUAGGACUGGUUGGUGGACCUUGUAGCCAAUUUUGCCAAUGUAAAUAUAUAGUUGAUUAAUGAAGAUCUUAUGUUACCCUAAAAAAAAUUGAAACCUUUGCACUACAAAAAUUUUGAUGUGUUUUUUUUUUGAAAUGCAAGAUUCUAGUGUGUUGCCUGUUACUUCAAGUGAUUUUGACUAACUGAACAGUCGCAUUCCUUUUAGCAAAUAAUCACACAGGUGUGAGGCGAGGACAGCUGACGUGCCUAGCUCAUCCGAAUCUUCUCCUAGCAUAGUGCUUUGGGCAGAAGGCUGGCGCAUAGAGGACGUCAGCACGGUGCUGUUUCCUGAACGACUGCUCCAAAGGAGUGGUGUUUUGUUAAUUCCCCCGGCGUGAAGAGGUUCAUGUUCCAGCGCACCUUCUUGAGAUGGUUGCCAUCGCCCUGAGACGCGCCGCCGCCUGAACUUCCAGGUGGCGAUGCGGUCAGCAGCAGUUCCCAAGAGGGGUCUUCAAGAAGUCCUCCUCAACGUCACGGCAGUUCCCACAUCAGUUCGCAGAGCAGAUUUCAAGAACUGCUCUCGUCCUCCUCGCCAUUUUUGAAAAGAGGGGUUUUUUCUAGAACUCCAACUGUAGCCCUGCUCGCCCCCCCCCCCACUGCCAUCUCCUCUCCAAUCACCGCACAUCACGCCACUACGCCUAUCCAACACUCCGGCUCGCUGCCGUCCAUGCGCCGCAGCUCCAUCCAUGCCGGCGUGCAAGCCCUCGGGUGGCCUCAUCGCGCUCUGUGUUACGCGACGUCGUCGACACCUGCACUCAUGGCGGUGAGGCGGCACCCGUCAUCGCUGGUGGAGCUCCCUGCCGAGGUGGCCAUUCAGAUCGUGGGCCACUUCACUGUGACCUCAAAGCGGCCAAUGGAUGACCUCGGAGCGGCCAAUGGAUGACGUCCGCAGCCUACGUGCCACCUGCCGCUUCAUGCGUGGUGUGUGCGACGACCUCGAAGUCGGCCAGUGCAUCGCACUAGAGCGGUUUGCUGACAAUAUGGUGUGGUACGACCCCAAUGGCUAACACACCCUCCUUGCUCGCCUGACCUAAUUCGGCAAUCUGGAGGCCUGCUUCAUCACCAGGAUGGGAGUCAUCUUCUGUGGACCCGUGAUCAGACCUCUCCUAGUCCUCGACGAUAAUCUCGCCUGCGCCACCACGGGCGAGCACAAUGUGGCGGCCUAUGUGGCCGCCAUGCUCCUCUACAGGGCCAACGACGGCACCAUCGAUGAUAACGCUGCGUAGCGGUACAGCAGACAGGUCGAGGGCGAGGAAGAAGCGAGGGCAGCGGCAGCGGGCGCGGUGGCGGACCAUUGCUGAGCAACCAGGGAUGUGUGCUGUGCCACGAGAAGGCCUAUGAGAUCAUCCGGUGAACGUUUGGCGCCGGAUGUUGAUCCACAUCAGCCGCCGGCGCCGGUGCUGCACGACAAUCUUUUAUGUGCAGGCGGCAAGUGCAGCCGUCCUGUCAAUCAAUGGGAACCUCAAGCACUAACUCUAUAUUGCAGCGAGGACUGUAGGAUUCCACAUGAAGUCUAUCUGCUUUUCAAGAAAUUUGGAUUCUAGGUUGCUAGGACUGGUUGCUUUAAUGUUGAUUUUGGUUGACAAGGUCCCGCACUGGUUGCUUUUUGUGUUAAUUUAGGUCUGGAGUGAAUUAGUGUAGUAGGUCUUGCUUUUCUGUUGAUUUUGCUUCAUGAGGUCAAGGGACUGGUUUGCAGACCUUGUUGCCAAUGUAAAUAUAUAUAUGAUUAAUGAACAUCUUAUGUCACCCUCAAAAUAAAUUAGAAACUUCAAUACAUCAAGCAUAAUAACAAAACAAUCAUCAUCAUAAAAAAUUCAACAUUACAUGAAUUCCAGUACAGCAGUAUAACCAUAAUUAACUACUAGUAUGUCCAAUAAUAGGCAACAACUAACACAACACACAUGACCGCAAGCAAUGCAAACUCCUAUAGAUCAUCAUCAUCAUCUUCGGCUACAUCAUCUACACCAUUCCCAUUGUCGUCACUAUUACUACAAUGCUCCAAGAUAGUGUCAUCUUCAUCCUCAUGUUCCUCUACAUCUUAUACAGAAAUGUUAAUUUGCUUCUUGUGUCUUAAAAGGUCUGCUAAAUUAACUUCAAUGACUGUGUCUUUGUUGACGGUCCUUAAGUUGAAAAUAAACAACCUCUGCAUCGAUCAAUACUAAUUAAACACCAAAACUUAGAAUAGGGAUUUAACUCUAACAAUUUCCACAAGCUUUGGUGAAUUAUGAUAUGCAGGCACCCAUGAGCAAAUACAAGAAGAAAACAUGUAGAAGACGCAAUAGAAGCACGCAGAAGAUCCUAUCCUGCGUCACACUUACAAAGAGGGCCCACAAACAAGACCAAACGGGCGCCCCAAGACACAAAUCACCAAGGACCAUCACUAGGGCCCACAUGUCAGAUAGCUAGAGGAAGGUAGAGCUGGGGAGGCUCCACCUGGGGUUGGCCGAACCUCUGGGUCGGCCGAACCCUGAUGGACUUCUGUCCAGGUGCAUUUUGACGUGGAGUACCCCCUACGCUUCCUCAAGGCCGUGGCUAAGGUUUGCAUACAUAAAGAUGGUGGGAACUGCCCUUGGAGGCUAUAAAAGGAGGCCUCCCCCCAUUCACACACACCAUCUGGGAGAUGAAGAAGAGAAGGGAGGAUUCCACCUUUUAGAGCUACUUAGUAGAGUAGGUUAGGGAGUGUGUGCAGAAGUCCACGAGGAGAGUCGAAGUUGUCGGCCUCCGUCUACUUGUACCUCGGCGGAUACGAACCUCUUUUGAGUAAGUAUCCAGGUUCAUCUACGGUGUUGAGUUCUUAUUAAGCUAAGUCUUUGUUAUCAUUCACUUGUGGGAUCAUUGUGUGUUCUUGAAUGAUUGCUUCUAGCCUAAGGACUUGAGUCUUAAGACAGAGUCUGGCUGGGGUUAGAAGUAGUAUUUGAUAGCGUGGACAUGGUGUCUAGGCUUGAAGUUACCUUUGUUUGCUACCCUUCUCCACGGUCUGAGAGGUAGGCGGCUGGUGGUGACAGCCCUAUCCGUCCUUCGUAUCCCUCUAUGUUCGGGUUGGGCGUAGAGCUAAUAGCAGGAGGCACUUGGCAGACCAGGUGUAAACCGGUGCCCGAAGCAAGCGAGUAGUAGCUAAGCUUAUCUCGAGAAGUAGCUAAGCUUAUCUUUACUAAGAGUCUCUAUCCUUGGACAACCACACUACCCAGGACCAUCGUAUCUUCUCUCUUUUCCUUGGGUAAAUUAGCUAAAAGACCAUUACACCUCCAUUCCCUGAGAAAUAUACGAUACCCUGAAUACUCUCCGGGUGAAGUGCUAUAGCGGUAUAUCCGUGCGCUUGUGGAUUCUAUUCGUGAACGUUAAGAAAUACCAACAAGCAUUUCUGACGCCAUUGCCGGAGAACGGUUGUUGUAGUUUUCUUCAAACCUAGAUUGCCCGUGUAUCCUUUCUUUUACCUUUCUCUUUCUUUUAUCCUUAUACCAUGAAAAACCUUUCUAUCCAUCUCUCUACUCUUGAGGAUGAGUUCUUAGAGCUAUCACCCUCUCCAAAGCCUAUCACAGCUUGUGGCUAUGAACUCCAUCCUAGCAUCAUUGCCAUGGUUCAAGGGCAAACCUUCUUCGGAUUAGAAAAUGAAGAUCCCCAUCAUCAUUUGCAAGAGUUUGAGGAACUGUGUUCGUGCUUGGUAAUCCCAGGCAUGACACAGAAAACCAUGAGGUGGAAGUUGUUCCCUUUCUCUCUCGUGGAGAAGGCGGAACAGUGGUACACUCACGACCUGAGGAGUGUGAACGGUGAUUGGGAAGAGCUCCGAGAUGACUUUUGUCACUUGUUCUCUUCUUUAUCCCACAUAGCCUCUCCCUGAAAUGACACCCUUGCAUUUGAACAAUUAGAGAUGGAGUCCAUAGGUGCAGCUUGGGCAAGUUUCUCAAACCUUUUCGCACCAAGCCCAGACUAGUCUAUACCUGAUGAUAUAUCUUUGCACAUCUUUUGCACGGGUGUAGACAUGAACUCUACCCUAGCUCUUGACAACGCUGCCGGAGGUUCAUUUGCGCACAAAACUCCGAUGGAAGGAAGGAAAUUCAUAGAUAGCCUCUUAGAAAACUCUUCCUCUCGUACCAAUCAUAACAAACCCUGCAGAGAGGAAUCCAAGUCGAGCCAUCAGAGACCCUCAACAGCCAAAUCAGAGCCUUUACUCUCCACAUCCAAAGAUCCAUCUGUUGAGCCCUCUCUCGAAACAUGAACACCAAAGCAAGAAGUAAUUCAACCUUUGGAGUUCACUUUCCAAUUCGAGGAUGACCCUUUCGAAAAAUCUUAGAAAUACCUCGAAUCAUCUCUACAAGGAGGAACCACCAAUCAUAGCUUCUCCUCCCGAUCCUCCAAAUAAAGCUUUUCUCAAGGACAUGAGAGAGAAAUGGUCAAACGGAGUGAGACACUUUUCCAAAGCAGAUUGGAGUCCAAAGAUAAGGUUUUUGUAGAUGAGCAUGGGAGCUUUAUCCUUGAAACACCACAACCAUGCCUGUAUAGCUUCCCUCCAGAGUCAGCCACACUUUGCACCGCGAAUGUAUUCAAGGGCUACAACCACCUUAGAGUCUUCUCUAGCAAAACUUUUAGCAGGAUGGUUGUAGAUGAAUUUGUUUAUCAUAAGCAUUGUAAAUUUUGUGGAUGCACUGUGUCACUAACCCUGCAGCUUGAGCAUAAAUGGCGGUGAAGGUGGGAACUACAUCGCCAACGGUAGCUGCAAUAGGAAGAUUCCCCAUGGUCGAGCUUUUGACCGUAAACAAAGCACUGCCGGGAGAUGGCCCGGACUUUCAUUUCCCUUUCCAAUAAAAGUCUCCCUUUAUAGCAAGAACAUGUUUUCAGGAUAGUAUACACCUUCGGGUAUUUUUGGUCGCUAACUAUUUCAGAUUGAGUUUAAAAAGAACGAAGGGCAUACGAUGCCCGAGAAUAUGAGAGCUACACUAACUACACACUCGGUAUUCCUUGUUGAUGGGACACACUCUUAAGGAGACACCGACAUCACACACUUGAUUUUUGGUGUCGUGAGACACAAAAAUUCAAGUGUGGGGGUAGAUUGGUGAGCACCUCGCAACAAGAUGCAUCCAUACCAAGGAUGGUGUUGGUUCUAUCUUGCCGAGAAAAAAAAGAAAAGAUAAAAAAAGAGAGAUAAAGAAAAAUAAGGAAAAAACAAAUAAAAAGAGAAAACAAUAGACUACACACUUGGUAUUCCCUGGCGAUGGAACACAAUCUUAAGGAGACACCAACAUCACACACUUGAUUUUUGGUGUCGUGAGACACAAAAAUUCAAGUGUGGGGGAAGAUUGGUGAGCACCUUGCAACAAGAUCCAUCCAUACCAAGGAUGGUGUUGGUUCUAUCUUGCCGAGAAAAAAGAAAAGAGAAAAAAAGAGAGACAAAGAAAAAAAGGAAAAAACAAAAAAGAGAAAACAAUAGAAAAAAGGAGAGAAAAGGGAAAAUGAAAAAAGAUAAAAGGAGAAAAAAGAGAGAUAAAAAAAA